UAAAUCCUGGUUAAAAGAUCAACCACAAGGAGGCAAACCAAUUCAACGAAACAGCUGGACAUCACUGCUGAGGACAAUGGAGGAGGUCAAACUUAAACCCUAAAGGAGAAAAACAGGAAAGAAUGGAACAGAGACACAGCUUGUGGUGACCAUCAGUUGAACUGGUCUCUGGGAUGUUGGUGAGAAGGUAGAGAGAUGACGCUUGGUGGGACUAAUUGAUUUAGACCAGUUAGAGGCAGAGGACAGGACUGAUGUGAGGAUUUGAGUUAGGAGAAGCACCGACUGUUAGAAACGGCUUUCCGAUGUGACUUGGUCUAGUUCUAGAUGUUCCUCUGGUUAGUUAGUUUUCAGGCCUAGUUGGAGGGAAAAGAACCCUCUGCAGAAAUAUUCUCCAUAUCAUCUAGGCCUGUCCUGACCGCAGUGGAUCUCUUCUGUGUUUUUUGAAUCCCAUGUUGGACCGAGCCUCUCCAAGCUUUGGGCCAUCAGAAGAUGCUGAUGAGAUCUGCAGCGACCAAACCAGAGGAGGAUCGUCUGGGCUGCUGACCUUCACAAAGGACACUGUGGACGUCCAAAAGCAAAACUCCUGUGAGGAACCAGGACAUCCAGGAUGGUGAGGAGCUUCCCAGUCCCCACCUGAGGACGGCACAGAGAAAGACUGGAACAGAAAACACACGGAGGAAAGCAGGUUGAACAUGGAAGCAGUGUUCUAGCAGUCGGAUCACAUUGGAACAGAGUCCAUCCACACAUGUUUGGAGG